rnacentral:rRNA from 1 species
UGGGGAAUAUUGGACAAUGGGGGCAACCCUGAUCCAGCAAUGCCGCGUGUGUGAAGAAGGUCUUCGGAUUGUAAAGCACUUUCGACGGGGACGAUGAUGACGGUACCCGUAGAAGAAGCCCCGGCUAACUUCGUGCCAGCAGCCGCGGUAAUACGAAGGGGGCUAGCGUUGCUCGGAAUGACUGGGCGUAAAGGGCGUGUAGGCGGUUUUACACAGUCAGAUG